rnacentral:rRNA from 1 species
AAACCGCCUAGAGGUAAACGGGUGGAUCCGCAAAAGUCGGCCCGCGGAAUUCAGCUCGGAAGGCCAGCGCCCGCCGCGCGUCGGGAGAUCCGCUCUAGGACUCCCCGUGCGGCGCCUUCGGACGUUGGUCGGCCGUGUGCACUUUCCGCGGGCAGAGCGCCACGACCGGUUCUCGGGCGGUCAGACGGCGGCUGGGAAGGUAGGCGGGCGUCUUCGCGGGCGCUCGCUGUUACAGCCCAGCCUGUCCCGAUCCGCUUGGCCAGAGGACCGAGGAGCUGCCGCCGGCGCGAGGCCGCUUCGUUCCCUCCCGGGAGGUUACGACUGGUGGAGACUGGGUUCCGCCCGUGUCCGCCGACCGCUUUCCGGGAUGGGGCGGGGUGAGGGAGCCCGCCGGCUUAGGGUCAGUGGCGAAUCGGUCGGCCCUCCACCCGACCCGUCUUGAAACACGGACCAAGGAGUCUAACAUGCGCGCGAGUCGUUGGGCAGUACGAAACCCGAAGGCGCAGUGAAAGCGAGGGCCACCCUCGCGGUGGCUGAGGUGGGAUCCGGUCCUCGUGGGCCGGCGCACCACCGGCCCGUCUCGACCGCGCUGUCGGUGAGGCGGAGCAGGAGCGUGCACGUUGGGACCCGAAAGAUGGUGAACUAUGCCUGAGUAGGACGAAGCCAGAGGAAACUCUGGUGGAGGUCCGCAGCGAUUCUGACGUGCAAAUCGAUCGUCAAACUUGGGUAUAGGGGCGAAAGACUAAUCGAACCAUCUAGUAGCUGGUUCCCUC